rnacentral:rRNA from 1 species
GACGAACGCUGGCGGCGUGCUUAACACAUGCAAGUCGAACGGAAAGGCCCUGCUUUUGUGGGGUGCUCGAGUGGCGAACGGGUGAGUAACACGUGAGUAACCUGCCCUUGACUUUGGGAUAACUUCAGGAAACUGGGGCUAAUACCGGAUAGGAGCUCCUGCUGCAUGGUGGGGGUUGGAAAGUUUCGGCGGUUGGGGAUGGACUCGCGGCUUAUCAGCUUGUUGGUGGGGUAGUGGCUUACCAAGGCUUUGACGGGUAGCCGGCAUGGGAGGGUGACCGGCCACAUUGGGACUGAGAUACGGCCCAGACUGCAACGGGGGGCAGCAGGGGGGAAUAUUGCACAAUGGGCGGAAGCCUGAUGCAGCAACGCCGCGUGCGGGAUGACGGCCUUCGGGUUGUAAACCGCUUUCGGCUGUGACGAAGCGUGAGUGACGGUAAUUGGUAAAGAAGCACCGGCUAACUACGUG